GACGAACCGAGCGAACGUUGUUCGGAAUCACUGGGCUUAAAGGGCGCGUAGGCGGGUGCUCAAGUCCGUGGUGAAAUCCUCCGGCUCAACCGGAGAACUGCCUCGGAUACUGGGCGUCUCGAGUGUGGUAGGGGUAUGCGGAACUAUCGGUGGAGCGGUGAAAUGCGUUGAUAUCGAUAGGAACUCCGGUGGCGAAGGCGGCAUACUGGACCACCACUGACGCUGAUGCGCGAAAGCCAGGGGAGCAAACAGG
rnacentral:rRNA from 1 species